ACACGUAGGGGGCGAGCGUUGUUCGGAAUCAUUGGGCGUAAAGGGCGUGCAGGCGGUCCUGCAAGUCCGGCGUGAAAGACCCCGGCCCAACCGGGGGGACGCGCUGGAAACUGCAGGGCUUGAGUACAGGAGGGGAUGCCGGAAUUCCAGGUGUAGGGGUGAAAUCCGUAGAUAUCUGGAAGAACACCAAUGGCGAAGGCAGGCAUCUGGCCAUGUACUGACGCUGAGACGCGAAGGUGCGGGGAGCAAACAGGUUUAGAUACCCUGGUAGUCCGCACAGUAAACGAUGUGCACCAGGUGGCGGGGGGUCGACCCCCGGUACCGUAGCUAACGCAUUAAGUGCACCGCCUGGGGAGUAUGCUCGCAAGGGUGAAACUCAAAGGAAUUGACGGGG
rnacentral:rRNA from 1 species